UGUGAUUAGAUCACACUGUACUUGCAAAACAGUGUCAGUAUAUGAAUACCCUGGCCAAAAAAAUGUUAUGCUUCGGAUGUGUAGGGUUACGUGAUUAGGUAGACAGUAAUUAUGUUAUCAUAAUUAUCAUUGUUUACGUUAGGUCACCAACUAGGCCUGGUAAAUAUUGCAUGAUUAUGGGCGUGGUUUCAAUUCGUUCAGAUUCAACUAAUUUCUUCGUAAAAGCUGCCGUAAUCACAAAAAUAGCUCUGUGUUACAAGAUAUCUAAGCUAGCUAGGUAUUCUAGGUGGUAGCAAGAGUUCAUUAGCUCUUCUCAGGAGUAUUAAGGACUGUCCAAAUUAAAAUGACAUGGAAUUUUGUUAUAAUGAUAUUCAUAUAAUGAUAUUCAUGCGCGCAACGUCAUCGCUUUGGAAUGUUUAUCACGUGCGUGGGUGGCAAACGUCUGCAAUUACUGGUGAGGGCGGAGCUUGGGUCAUAUGACACUCUUACUUAAUUUAUUAAAGUUGACCGUAGCUACUUGAUUGAGUAAAACCCUGAAAGCAUUUGUUGUAGGCUACCUAGUAGCUAUUAAAGGCCUUAACUAAGACUAGUAGAGAACUUGUUUCCUGCUGCGCAAGACAGUGCAGCCAAGCAAGAAAGUUAGGAGGAGAAAUCAGCAGGAUUUCAUCAGUAUAUGAUAUGUACAUCAGGAUUCCAGGAAAAGAUAGGAUCUAACUAAAUUGGAACAAAUGCUUAUUUUAUAAUUAGUUUUACAAGGAAAUUUCAUGUUAAUUGGUCACAUGAUAAUCACAUGAUCUUUAUUUUUGAUUAAGGAAA